UGGGGCCGUCCUCCAGCUGGCGCUGAGCACGGAGGACCCGCAGCUGCAAACGGUGCCGC
rnacentral:SRP_RNA from 1 species